rnacentral:lncRNA from 1 species
UCCUUCCAUAGAAUCUUACUCAUUGUUGAUUUCUUCUCUUAAGCCGGAGCUCGGCUUCAGGAGUACUUUUCAAAAUAUCAUGUAUUUUGCUAACUCUAUAUAACUCCAUGUGUCAUUUCAUCCAGAAAACUUGUUUCUAAUGCUUUUUUCUCUGGACUCUAAGCUGGUUGAUGCCACCAGGCCUUGGGAAAAAGCCUGCCUUCUGAUAGGAUUGCUAUUGAGUAGCAAAAAUUCUUGGAUUCUGAUAACAUCUUUCAUGCAGAAACUCAAAGCAUCUCCCAAAUUAUAAGCCCAUUCUUUUACACUGUUCUACACUCUCACACUCUAGGAACAACUCAUUUCAAUCUUGGGACAUUGACCAGAAUUCAGGGAAACUAGCAUGAUCCUUCCAGUCUGACGUUUCAUUCCAUCUACUGUCCAAAGCUGUGUCUACAAGGCAUCACCUAUGAGACAAUAAAACAAACCCUCUGAAAUCAGGAAAUUUGCCAGAAGAUGGCGAGCUGGGAAGAAAUAAAACCAGGAUUUGAGCCAGAGACAGGGUUUCUCUAUGUUGCCCAGGCUUGUGUUGAACUCCUGGCCUCAAGUGAUCUUCCCACCUCAGCUUCUCAAAGUGCUGGAAUUACAGGCAUAAGCCACCAUGCCUGGCUGCAUGAAAUCUUCUGAGGCAGUAUUCAGGGAGUAGACAAGAGUGAAGCAGCCCCGACAGGGAGUUAACCUCCUAAUUGGGAAAAUAGAGCAGAGAGAUUCAUGCUGCUGAAGAAGCACUGUGACUAUGCACCUUCACUCCUCCAACUCAAAAAGAAGAAGAAGAAAAAAAGCCCGAGGAAAAUGAACACCACUGGCUAGUUAGGAGUAUUUUGAGAAUUCACUUUAAAGUGCUGAGAAAGCACUGUUAUAC